AUAGACUGCGCUACAUGCAUUGUUCCUAAUUUCUCUAUUUUUAUGUGUUACUACGGUUAUGUGUGUAGAAACAGAAGUUCCCUAUUAUGUGGUCGAACCAUGGGAACCAUGUGAGUUAGUGACCCGUGGUAGUAUGUAAAUGAACAUAUUGUGGUGCUGAAAGAAUACAAUGUGAUGUAUAAUAAUUUACUUCAUAUAAACAAUGACUAGUCAAAAGUGGAGGAAAUAUUUGUUGUGGUUUGCUAACGAGCAUGUAGAGUUCCGUUUGCCUGAGAUUAAGUCCAUAGCUUCUCUGUUCAACAUUAAUAUAAGAUGGAUUGAGAAACCAAACCAACAUCCUUACUGGGUGGUAGAACUACCAUCUGAGAAAGCUGCUAGGCAGAUUGCAAGCCGAUCUGUGGGGCUACGUUCUUGCAUGGAACUUUGGGCUCAAGGUAAAACAGAAGAAGAGCUGCACAAGAAUGUCCGAUCUUACCCCAUGGAGUUAAUGAAACCAUACUUCAAGCCAGAAUUGUCAUUUAAAAUACACGUUGAAACUUUCUGCAACAGGCAGAGCCAGGCAGAAAAAGUAUCAAAAAUUGAGUCAUUCAGCUAUUUGCCUCUGGAGGGCUCUGUGAAGCUGAAGAAUCCAGAUGUUUGCUUGCAACUCCUAGAAUAUUAUGGUCUGGAUUCAAAUCACAUACCAGAGAAGCCUUAUAAGCUCUUUUUUGGACGAUGGAUAGCAGAUGGUCAGAGAGAUGUGAUCACCAUGCUGUCACUCAAGACAAGGAAGUUCAUUGGGAACACAAGUAUGGACCCACAACUGUCCCUCUACAUGGCGAACCAGGCGUUGGUGCAACCUGGAGACCUUGUACUGGAUCCUUUUGUGGGAACAGGUUCACUGCUGGUUGCGGCUUCCCAUUUUGGAGGCUAUGUCCUGGGAUCAGACAUUGAUUUCUUGAUGUUACAUGGCAAGACUCGCCCAACAAGAAUACAGCCAAAGAAAGAACGGGAUAAGGAUGAAAGUAUAUGCUCCAAUAUGCUGCAAUAUGGAAAAGGCAGCCAAUACCUGGACGUCAUUGUGGCGGAUGCAUCUUUGCCUCUCUGGCGCCCAUCUUUCAAACUGGAUUGCAUCAUUACAGACCCGCCAUAUGGAAUCAGAGAAGCGACUGAACGCAUAGGAACCACAAAGAAUUACCAGAUCAGUAACCAUCAUCUGGAGGGGCACAUCCCCUCAAAAGUGGAGUAUGGUCUGCAUCAGAUCUAUCAAGAUCUGUUCCAGUUCGCAGCUCAGCACCUCAAGAUGGGGGGCAGACUUGUGUGUUGGAUUCCUGUAGUUCGACGUGACUACAGUGAAGACAGGCUGCCUAUGCAUCCAUGUUUUCAGCUUGUGGCAAACUGUGAACAAGUUCUCACAAAGUUCACCAGUCGACGUCUCCUUACUCUGGAGAAACUUCACGAACCACAGGAGAAAUAUACUGGUUCAGAUGUGAACAGUCUGAUGGGAGAUUUCCGUGCCAAGUUUUUCCAAUAUGGAGAAGAGCAGCGGAAGAAAAGGAAACUUCGCAAAAUGUUGGCAACACAAGCUUACAGGCAGAGGGAGGAGAAGGAAGCAAAUUGUAGAGCUCAACUUGAGGACAGAGACAGCAGUAGUUCAGAAAGAUGACAGUAGAUGUCUCAGGUUUAGGCCCAACUUCCUCUUUCAUAUAAACUUCGGACUUCGGAGGAAAGUUUGCUAACACAGAUCAGUAACUGUAUUUUCAUGGAAUAAGGAGCGAGAUGUGUGUACAGGCAGCAUGGAAGGAUUCAGAAACUUUCAUGGAGGCACAAGCCACAAGUUCUUGGACAGUAUACACAAAGAUGCUGUACAGAGAAACAUAACUGAUGCCCAAAAUCAUACGCCUAUUUCUCAGCUGGCUUCCUGUCAGAAUUCUUGUGAAGCCUGUUUAGCUACCAUGGUAAUACGAGGAAUUGCAUCUCCACCCAGACAAGCUGUCUGCUACUUCCAGCAGCUUCCUCACCACAGCUUUCGUUGUACCAGUAGAGUUAGGUGAUUUGGGACUAAAAUCACCCUUUCAGGCAUGCAACACAUCUCUGCAUCUCAGACAGGUAUGUGUCUCACUUAACCAUGGAAUGGAUUAUUGAUUAAUUCAGAAAAUUCCUGUACGAUACAUGGAGAGUACUAUUAUUCUGGGAUGUGAUACCCUUGUAUUAACUUUCUUUUAGUCAUUUUAUGACAGUAUCAGUACUGAGACUAUAGCACUAAAUGGUAAUAUGACAGAUGAAUUAGAAAGUAGUUGGAAGGAAGUGGUUGUGGUGAAAUUGAGGUACUAUCCUGGAAUUUGCCUGGAAAACCAUGAAAACCUCAAUCAUGAUAGUUUAUAUCCCAGUCAAGAUUCAAACUGAGCACCUCCUGAACAUGAGUCUAAAGCAGUGGUUCUCAACUUUUGUCAGACCGCAGCCCAGUAAAUUCUGUUUUCUAUAAGAUGAGGGCCCAGUAGAAUUGAUGUCAGGGCCUGGCAGUUGAGAAACACUGGUCUAAAGUGUUACAUCUAUGCCAAUCUGCUCAGUAAUGUUUAGUCUAGUAGAUAUUUACUGACAUCAGGAGGAGUGUUCUGUCUCCAUCGUCAGACAUGAAGAGUACGCUGAGCGUGGAAAAAGGGGGCACAGAUACUGUAUUACUUUGAAUAUAAGACGCACAUUUUUGCAUUUAUCGUGUUGAAAAAUUGAGGUGCACCUUAAAUUUGAGGAAUAUGCACCUUUCUGUUUUUUUUUUCUUACAAUCCACAUUCAAAAACUGGAUGUCUUAAAGUUGAGGGCUUCUUAUAUUCAAAAUAAUAUGGUAUGUGCCAGAACAUAUGAUGAAAACAAAAAUCAAUGCGUGCGCACAAAAAAAAAAAAAA